rnacentral:rRNA from 1 species
GACGAACCGAGCGAACGUUGUUCGGAAUCACUGGGCUUAAAGGGUGCGUAGGCGGGCUGCCAAGUUUGGGGUGAAAUCCUCCGGCUCAACCGGGGAAGUGCCUUGAAUACUGGCGGUCUCGAGGGAGGUAGGGCGUGCGGAACUAACGGUGGAGCGGUGAAAUGCGUUGAUAUCGUUAGGAACUCCGGUGGCGAAGGCGGCACGCUAGACCUCUUCUGACGCUGAGGCACGAAAGCCAGGGGAGCGAACGGG